CUACGGGGGGCAGCAGUGGGGAAUAUUGGACAAUGUGGGAAACCCUGAUCCAGCAAUGCCGCGUGUGUGAAGAAGGCCUGCGUGUUGUAAAGCACUUUCGGUUGGGAGGACUGCUUCUAGCACUAAUAUUGUUGGAAGUUGACGUUACCUUCAGAAGAAGCACCGGCUAACUCCGUGCCAGCAGCCGCGGUAAUACGGAGGGUGCAGGCGUUAAUCGGAAUUACUGGGCGUAAAGCGCGCGUAGGCGGCUAGAUCAGUCGGGUGUGAAAGCCCCGGGCUUAACCUGGGAACUGCAUCCGAUACUGUCUAGCUUGAGUACAGGAGAGGAGAGUGGAAUUCCACAUGUAGCGGUGAAAUGCGUAGAUAUGUGGAGGAACACCAAUGGCGAAGGCAGCUCUCUGGCCUGAUACUGACGCUGAGGUGCGAAAGCGUGGGGAGCAAACAGGAUUAGAUACCCUUGUAGUC
rnacentral:rRNA from 1 species